rnacentral:lncRNA from 1 species
UCUGGCUCCAGAGGGACUGGGGUCUGGGGCCUGUCACCUGGUCCUGCCUGUGUUUCCUGGGAGGAGGACCUGGUUGAUAGAAGAAUUUAUCUCGUAGUCUUAACAUCCACUGUAAUUCCAAACUUUGAGGACGAUAGAGAUCAGUGGGCUUUGACUGCCCAGCAUGCAGUCUCCAUUCUUAGGUGGGUUCCCAAGCCUGUAAAAUGUAAGCCUUAUGCUGCUGAGGGCCAUCUUGCCACCCUGAGGGAAACGCUGCCUGAGAAUGAAACAAGCAUAAGUAAAAGCUGAGCUGUGAGAUGGAGCAAGAUGAAGGCCACAUGACAUCUUUGGAGCACCUGGAUCUAACUGUGCCUUAAGCUAGUCUAACCCUGAACAUUUCAUCAUUUCAUUGACAUGAGCCCAGGUUUUCUUUUUUUUUGGAUGGAGUCUUGCUCUGUCGCCCAGGCUGGAGUGCAGUAGCUCAAUCUCGGCUCACUGCAAGCUCCACCUCCCGGGUUCACGCCAUUCUCCUGCCUUAGCCUCCCAAGUAGCUGGGACAACAGGCGCCCACCACCACUCCCAGCUAAUUUUUUGUAUUUUUAGUAGAGACGGGGUUUUACCAUGUUAGCCGGGAUGGUCUUGAUCUCCUGACCUCAUGAUCCGCCCGCCUCGGCCUCCCAAAGUGCUGGGAUUACAGGUGUGAGCCACUGCACCCAGCCCUCAGGUUUUCCCUUUUUUUACCCCUCCUUUUGAAAAUUUGAUGUGGAAUUUUGCCACCUGCAGCCAGAAGAGUUUUAACUAAUCAGUGCCAUAAAUUUUAUAUAGUUCUCCUUGCAAAAUGUGGAUCAGCCUUUCUCAGCAAAUCCUUUGUCAUAAAGUGCUGAAUUGUAAGUUUGUCAUGAGAAUCACAUGAGAUCAUGCAUGUGAAGAACCUGGCAUUAUCCUCCUCAUAGAAAAAAACCAGUAAAUAUUAACUACAGGAAGCAAGGAAGGAGUGGGGUGAGGGGAAGAAGAAGGGGUACUGAUUUAAAAGAACCCUGGAGUCCUAAGGAUAAUCUAGGAACCCUCAGACCCAAUCCGAUACCCCUAUUCUAAAUGCUCCUAGUGCCCUGUACCUUCCCCUCAUAAGCCUUCAUUAUCAUUGUAAUGAUAUGUUUAUGUAAUAUUUUGAUUAAUGUCUCUCCUUCACUGACCUAGCAGUUCUAGCAGGGCAGUGAUUUUGCUGUGUUGCAUCCCCAGCACCUAGUCUGGUAUGUGGCAUUCAGCAUAUGUUUAUUGAAUGAAUGGCCAUGUGGUUAUUCAGAUCCUCCUUGAUUAUUGGGGUUAGGAUUGUGGCAGAAGUGGCAAAAUCAGGGAGAGUAGUCCCUGUCCCCUCUGUAUCUUAUACACUGCCCACACUCCCAACACACAUACACAUACAGAGAAUUUUGUCUCAAUUAGAUAAUUAACUUCUGCUUGGUUGUAAACCAAACCACUGGUUCUUAAACUUUCAUUGGAUCAUUUUAUUGAAGAAUUAAAUAGUGUGGUUCUGGCCUAAUGUCUGGAAAGCCUUGCAGAGGAGUGGAUUAGGUCUUUGUGAUAAACAGGCAGCCUUCCCUGCUCCUGUGUCUUUAUAAAAUCUAUUUAACUGGAGUAGUCCACCCUCCCUCAGGCUCUUACAGGAAUAUGUUGGAGGCUGUAGGAAGGUGGGAAACCGAGAGGGAAAGGACUGGGCCGCUGGAGACUUCACUCAUUCCCUAGCAAGAAACAAAAGCAGUAAAAGGUGGCCCGAGGACAACCUGAAGCUCACUCCUUCAGCACUUUUGGCUGGAGGUCACUUGUUGGAGCCCCACUCAGAGCUCAGCACACCACCCCACCAGCAGCCUCCUCCUCCCAGCUGAGGCUGCAUUUCAUCCCUUCCCCCAGCCUGCUUUCCCUGAGAUAGGGGAGUGUUUCCCAGGGCCCAUGUGACUUCCACUGGCAAGUGACGAUUACCAAUGGUUUACUAGUCAGUGAAACUACCAAAGGCUUUUGUGCUGUAGUAAUCCUUUUCCUGUUUAAAACUCUGGGGAUUUUCUAAUGUUGCCAAUAGUUUUUCAAGUCAGCAAUUACUGUGUGGAUUAUGUAAUGGCUCGGUAUUAAAAAUAGAAAAGACUGG